UACGUAGGGGGCUAGCGUUGUCCGGAAUCAUUGGGCGUAAAGAGCGCGUAGGCGGCUAGAUAAGUCCGGUGUGAAAGUCACAGGCUCAACCUGUGAAUGCCGCUGGAAACUGUCUGGCUAGAGUCCGGAAGGGGCGAGUGGAAUUCCUGGUGUAGCGGUGAAAUGCGCAGAUAUCAGGAGGAACACCAAUGGCGAAGGCAGCUCGCUGGGACGGUACUGACGCUGAGGCGCGAAAGCGUGGGGAGCAAACAGG
rnacentral:rRNA from 2 species